GAGAACUGAUAACCCAAAGGGUGGAAUGACAGGGUAACGCCUUGAAACGCCCACCUAAUACUCCGAUUGGCGUUUACUGGAUAGCAGGUAGAUGUCAAAAGCUCGGUGAAGUCGGCUGAAAGCUAUCGUAAAUAUCCUUAAGGGAUAUACGAAACCUGUCCAGAUGUGGACGGUGUAGCCCAUAGGUCGGGGGUCUAUAAA
rnacentral:ncRNA from 1 species